UACACAAUAUGGCGGCGAUUAUGCGGAAAUGAAAUUGAAUGUUACUUCGAACACGUUCUUCUACAAAAUAACCGACCUGUAUUUAGUGCUAUUGCUUCAACAUCAAUCGAAGCAAAAAUGGCAUCAAUGUAUGCGUCUAAAAAUGUUAAAUUUAGAUGGAGACAAUCCAGAAAUGAGCUGCCAGGGAGUGAUCGAUUUCGGACACGAAGAUUGAGAAAUGCCUGGAUACAAGGCUAGUGUUGUUAACAUCAUCUGAUACAAUCAACUGGAACAAAGCUGAAAUGGCUGCCUGACCUGACUUAAAAAUUGGAUGGCAGUACAUCAGACUAGAAGAUUACAAGUAUUGAGGUGGACAAAAUGAAACCUGAGCCUACCAAAGCUGACAGAUUGCACCAGAAACACAUAAAUGCAGAUUGGAAGAUUCAUUCUCUGGAAAGUAGAAAAGGGCAUGUUACAUACUGUUAUCACUGCCAUGACAGAAACCAUAUUGAGGAGCUGGUCCACCUGUAGGAAGAAUUGCGCUAUUGGUUGGAGCAGCACUACUACCCAGCCAUACACCAGCACUUAGUUUGUCAUAGGGAGCAUUUCUGAGCAGUUAUGGAGACCACUAACUAUGCAGAUAUGUCAUAAUCAAAAUCUUGGUUUAUAUAUUUUUUUUAUAAUUUAGCAUCUGUUGAGAAGAAAUUUAUUUCUAGAUUGAAGGCACACACUAUAGAUUGAUGCCCAAAAAUAUAUUUCUUAUUUUAAUGCAUUAUCAUGUCUAACUCAUUUGACUUAAAUGAUCAAAGCAAAAGAAAUGCAAAUGAAUAAUCUGCAGAUAUACAAAUGUAAGCUUUUUUAACUGGGGAAAUUGUUGCCACUUGUCUAUUAAUUAAAGAACACAUUUAUAAUUAAUAAUGUAACUUUUUUUGCAGUUGUUGCAGUGAAACUUGCACCAGUGUGUUUUCUGUGGAGAUAAAGAGAUACAUGUAGUGUCCAGCAAUGAAGACCCAACUCAAGAUCUGACCUUGUAAGGCCAAUAUGAAAUAACUGUGUGGGAAAAUGGGAAAAACCUGCAGUCAGGAAUGCACGGAAAUCAUCAAAAGAACAGUGUUAAAUUAAUCUUGAAUAACUUGACAUUUAUUUUGUUUGACAUAUUUAUUCAAGGUGCAGUGAAAACAUUCUUUUUUUCUCAUGGUUAUUUAAAUAUAGAAUUGAUAGGAGGGAACAUCACUGUAGUUUCAUGUUCAUAGUCAGAUCAAAACCCAUGUACAUUCCCAAAUGAGCAUUCGAAAAUAUCAAAAUGGUACUUGUUGUAUGUAGUGUAAGUUAAUUAACAUAAUAAACAAAAAU